AGAUCAAGUUCAAGAUCAAAAAACGUAAACAAAGAGAAGCGAAUCACGAAGAAGAAGAAUAAGAUUAAAAAAAAGAAGAUAAAAGAGGAGAGAAGGAUAAUUAAGGGCCGCGAAGGAGGGAGAUGAAGGAAUAAGGACCAAAGAAGAGAUACAGAGCCCACAGAAGAGAGGAAGAGGAGAGAAAGGACCCAAGACUGACCCCAUAGGACGCAGCCACCACAGGACUCCUCACCACCUCCUACAGGACACCAGGCAAUCAUAGGACACUCUAGGACAUGGACAGUGGCACCCCCCUUCACCCCCCCCUGCCCCCCCCCCCCUACAAGCUGGAGUAGUGUAAGGGAUUUUGACAAGUUUAAGUUCGAGUGAUUUGGCGGAAGGAUUGGAAAAGGGGUGGAUUGUAAGUGUGUGUGUGUGUGUGAGGAUAUAAGUUUAUAAGUGAAUGGUGGAGAUUGUAGUGGAUUGUAGUGAGGGAGGAGGAGGAGUUAGAAAUGAAAGAAUAGAAGAAGGAAAAGAGAAAAUAUAUUGAAAAAGGAAAGGAGGAGAAAGAGGAAGAAAUGAAGGAGAAAAUAUAUUGAAAAAGAAGAGGAAAGAAAGAGUAAUUGUGAUAAAGAGGAGGAGAAAGAGAGAGAAAUGAAAGAAUAGAGGAAUAGAAAGAGAAUAUAUUGAAAAAGGAGAGAGAGAAAGAGUAAUUGUGAUAAAGAGAAGGAGAAAGAGACAAAUGAGAAAAGAGGAAGAAUAAAAAGAAGAAAAUAUAUUGAAAAAGGAGAGAAAGAAAGAGUAAUUGUGAUAAAGAGGAGGAGAAAGAGAGAGAAAUGAAAGAAUAGAGGAAUAGAAAGAGAAAAUAUAUUGGAAAAGGAGAGAGAAAAAGAAGAAAGUAAAAAGGAAAAGAUUAGAAAGGAAGAAAAAGAAGAAAAUAUUGAAAAAGGAAAGAGAGAGAGAGAGAGAGAGAGAGAGAGAGAGAGAGAGAGAGAGAGAGAGAGAGAGAGUAAAGGAAGAAAAAGAAGAAAAUAUUGAAAAAGGAAAGAGAAAAAGAAGAAAGACUAAGAAAUAAAACAAAACAAAGGAAGAAAAAGAAGAAAAUAUUGAAAAAUUAAAUAAACAUCAUAGAGGAGAGAGAAACAGUGAUAAAUGAGAGAAUAGAAGAGGAAGGAAGGAAGAAGAAAAGAAGAAAAAAUAUUGAAAAAAGGAAAAGAAGAAGAAGAAAAGAAGGAAAAGAGAAAUAUGAAAAGCAAAGUGUGUGAAGAAAAAGAAGAAAAUGAGAAAGAAUAUGAAGAAAAAUGAAGAAAAUGAGAAAGAAGAAAAUGAUUGAAAAAGUGAAUGAAAGAAAACAAGAAGAAAAAAUAACAAAAAUAAAUGUGUGUGAAUAAUCAGAAAACAGAGAGAGAGAGAGAGAGAGAGAGAGAGAGAGAGAGAGAGAGAGAGAGAGAGAGAAGACAAUAUCACUCAAAAGAAGACAAGAUUAGAAUUUGAACCCACAAUGGAAGAAAUCAAAACAGACCCCUUCACAGAUUGCCCAAACCACCUACACCCAUUCUCAGAGGAGGAGGAGGAAGAGGAAGAGGAGGAGGAGGAGGAGGUGGAAAGGGUAUCAGCUGUAGAAGGUAACACUGGACGCACUCUAACGCACUCUGAUAUCAAGGAGUUUAAAUGUAAAGAGUGCGGGAAAGUGUUCAAGUCUAAAGCUACAUUGAACAAACACACUCGAACACACUCUAAUGGUCUGAGAGAGAAGGAAAGGGUAUCAGCUGUAGAUGGUAACACCGAACGCACUCUAACGCACUCUGAUAUCAAGGAUUAUAAGUGUGAAGAGUGCGGUAAGGUGUUCAAAUCUAAUGCUGGUCUCACCAGACACACUCGCACACACUCUACCGCCUUGAGAGAAGAGGAGAGGCUUGCAGCUAUAGAUGGCAACACUGGACGCACUCUAACGCACUCUAAUAUCAAGGAGUUUAAGUGUGAAGAGUGCGGUAAGGUGUUCAAAUCUAAUGCUGGUCUCACAAGACACACUCGCACACACUCUACCCCUUUGAGAGAAGAGGAGAGGCUUGCAGCUGUAGAUGGUAACACUGGACUCACUCUAACGCACUCUGAUAUCAAGGAGUUUAAGUGUGAAGAGUGCGGUAAGGUGUUCAAGUCUAAUGCUGGUCUCAACGGACACACUCGCGUUCACUCUAUCAGUAAGAAUGGAAAAGAAAAGGUUGGCAACACUGAUAUCAAGCAAUUUAAGUGUGAUGAGUGUGAUAAAGUCUUCAAUUCUCAAGCUAGUCUGAACAAACACACUCGCACGCACCCUGACGGCAAGAUAUUCGAGUGUGAAAAGUGCGGUAAGAAAUUCUCAUCGCGGGGCAACCUUAACCAACACACUAACACACACACUGACAUCAAGUUCAAGUGUGAAGAGUGCGGUAAGGAAUUCAGCUCCAAGUUCACCCUCAAGAAACACACUCGGAAACACACUAACCCCGGGGAGGCCUACAUUUGCGAGUUAUGUGGGAGAAAAUUCAGAAGCCUCGGGAACUUGAACCAACAUUUAAACACACACGGCGGGGAGAGAAACCAUGAGUGCGUUGUCUGCGGGAAGAGAUUUUUGAGGUCCUGUGAUUUGACUAGACACGCACUCACACACUCAGACACCAGGAAUUUUGAGUGCGAAAAGUGCGGUAAGAAGUUCAUCCGCCACGGACAUUUACGCGACCACAUUUUAAUACAUACUGGUGAAGGGAGAACAUUUGAAUGCCUUAUAUGUGAGAAGCUUUUUACGUCGAAGGGAAACCUCAAUCAACACACUCUAACUCACAAUGACACUAGGAAUUUCGAGUGCGAGAUAUGUUUUAGGAAGUUCACGAGACAGGGCGAUUUGAACAAGCACGCUCUAACGCACUCAAACUCACGUGGUUUUGAGUGCGAAGAGUGCGGGAAGGUAUUUACGCGUGCAAGCAGUUUGAACGCACACGCACGCACUCACUCCGAAGCUCCGAACACCUGCUUGUGUGUCGAGUGCGGGAAGCGGUUCUCGACGAAGAGCAAUCUCAAGAAACACACUCUAACGCACACUAAUAGGAAUUUUGAGUGCGUUGAGUGUGGUAAGACUUACACAUCGCAACGCUACUAUAUGAAACACUCGCAGAAGCACAUAAAAACUGUUGGAGAGUGGGAGAUGGAGGAGGAGGAAGAGGAGGAGGAGAUGGAGGUGGAGGAAGAAGAGGAGGAGGAGGAGGAGGAAGAGGAUUUUGCAGUGGAGGUUUUAGUGGUGGAAGGUCCGUGAAAUGUAUGUGUUUUUAAGUGGAAGAGGAAGUGGAAGAAGAGGAGGAGAAGGAAGAUUAUACAUUGGAAGAUAUUUGAAAUGUGUGUGUGUGUGUGUGUGUAUGUGUGUGUGUUAAGUGUAAAUAAGGGUUGUAUUAUAAGUAGGGGUAUUGUAGUAGGCAUUAUUAUAAGUAGUAGUGGUAGUAGUAACUGCACUUUUAUCCCACAGUUCGUACUUAAGGGAACCAUUUCGCUGGGACCGGUAACACUUAUAAUUUUCAUUUUUUUAAUUUAUACAUUUUUUUUUUCACUCAAAGUUUAUGAUUUUUACUUUAUCAUGAGUUUUUCUAUUCUUGUUUUUUCAUAUCUAUUUCCUUGCUUUGUUUAUUUAGAUUUUCCUUCCUUCUUUCUGUAACUCUAUUCCUUGUUCUCUCUAUCUCCUCUUUGUUAUUUAAUGUUCCUUCCUUCCUUUCUGUAACUCUAUUCCUUGUUCUCUCUAUCUCCUCUUUGUUUAUUUAGAUUUUCCUUCCUUCUUUCUGUAACUCUAUUCCCUGUUCUCUCUAUCUCCUCUUUGCUAUUUAAUGUUCCUUCCUUCUUUCUGUAACUCUAUUCCCUGUUCUCUCUAUCUCCUCUUUGUUAUUUAGAUUUUCCUUCCUUUCUGUAACUCUAUUCCUUGUUCUCUCUAUCUCCUCUUUGUUAUUUAGAUUUUCCUUCCUUUCUGUAACUCUAUUCCUUGUUCUCUCUAUCUCCUCUUUGUUAUUUAAUGUUCCUUCCUUCCUUUCUGUAACUCUAUUCCUUGUUCUCUCUAUCUCCUCUUUGUUAUUUAGAUUUUCCUUCCUUUCUGUAACUCUAUUCCUUGUUCUCUCUAUCUCCUCUUUGUUAUUUAAUGUUCCUUCCUUCUUUCUGUAACUCUAUUCCUUGUUCUCUCUAUCUCCUCUUUGUUUAUUUAGAUUUUCCUUCCUUCUUUCUGUAACUCUAUUCCUUGUUCUCUCUAUCUCCUCUUUGUUAUUUAAUGUUCCUUCCUUCUUUCUGUAACUCUAUUCCUUGUUCUCUCUAUCUCCUUUGUUAUUUAAUGUUCCUUCCUUCCUUUCUGUAACUCUAUUCCUUGUUCUCUCUAUCUCCUCUGUUAUUUAGAUUUUCCUUCCUCCUCUUUCAAGCUGUGUGGGUAAGUGAUGACCUUCCCUGUUCUCUAUCUCCUCCAGAUGUUCCUUCCCCUAUCUAUCUCUCCUGUUUAUCAUCUCUAAUCUUCACUUUAUCAUGUCUAAUAUUUCAUCUGUUGUCAUGGAGGGAACACUUCUGGUUGGGUCGGUCAGCUCUCUUACCCACUGCCCUUACUCCAGAGGCUCUCAAACUAGGGUGCCAUGGAGAGUGCCCCGGGGGACCACAAGAUCAUGAUUUUUUUUUCUUUUUUGUUAGUCUGCAUUUAUAACCCUCUAAGUUAAUCUAAUUCGACUGACGAGUUUUGUUUGGGGAUUUUCUGUACUGUAUGUUAAGGUUGGUUUGAGUAUGGAUAAUUUUAAUUCAUGGAGGUAUAUAUAAACAGGUACAUUUGUGUUUUAAAAGUUAAUUCACAAGGGGGGAUACUAUAUAUAUUUAUUUUUAGAUUAAGGAAUUACCAUUACCAAAAGGAUAUUAGAAUUUACUUAUAUAACUAGUGACCUAAGUAUUAAAGAUUGUAUUGAAG